CCUACGGGUGGCAGCAGUGAGGAAUAUUGGUCAAUGGACGAGAGUCUGAACCAGCCAAGUAGCGUGAAGGAUGACUGCCCUAUGGGUUGUAAACUUCUUUUAUAUGGGAAUAAAAUGUUCCACGUGUGGGAUUUUGUAUGUACCAUAUGAAUAAGGAUAGGUUAACUCCGGGCCAGCAGCCGCGGUAAUACGGAGGAUCCGAGCGUUAUCCGGAUUUAUUGGGUUUAAAGGGAGCGUAGGUGGAUUGUUAAGUAAGUUGUGAAAGUUUGCGGCUCAACCGUAAAAUUGCAGUUGAAACUGGCAGUCUUGAGUACAGUAGAGGUGGGCGGAAUUCGUGGUGUAGCGGUGAAAUGCUUAGAUAUCACGAAGAACUCCGAUUGCGAAGGCAGUUCACUGGACUGCAACUGACACUGAGGCUCGAAAGUGUGGGUAUCAAACAGGAUUAGAUACCCGGGUAGUC
rnacentral:rRNA from 1 species